GGCCAAGCGGUAAGGCAGGGGACUGCAAAUCCUUUAUCCCCAGUUCAAAUCUGGGUGCCGCCU
rnacentral:tRNA from 1 species